AAAACCUCUCCCUUCACCGGCGCCGGCGUCUUCAACGGAGCUCCGACAUGUCCCCUUUAUUUGCAAUUGUCUCACUGAUCAUACUUAUAAUCAUACCGACUAUCGUAUUCGCUUUCAUCUACGCUAUGAAACACCCGGAUAAUGUUUUCCGGCGAAGCUCCGGCGAAACUUCCGGUGAGUCGACCACCGGAAUUAUUACACAACAUACGGAUAUGUUAUCGACUGUGAAGUAUGAAAAAAGAACAUCGCCGGAGAAGGAGGAAGAUCCCGGCAAUGAGUGUCCGGUGUGUUUGACGGCGUUUAUUGACGGAGAAGAAGUUAGACAAUUGAUGACGUGUAAACAUAUUUUUCAUUUUUCUUGUAUUGAUAAAUGGCUUUGUUCUAAAUCAAGUUGUCCGGUUUGCCGUGCUGCCGUUACCGUUAAACGGCCUAAACGGCCGG
rnacentral:misc_RNA from 1 species